GGGGCGUUAGUAAAUCUAUUACACAGCCUUGUCAGAGCUAAAUCACAGGUGAAACCCCUGUACACCCCA
rnacentral:tRNA from 1 species